rnacentral:rRNA from 1 species
UUUAACGCGAAGAACCUUACCAAGGCUUGACAUUGAGUGAAAGACCCAGAGAUGGGUCCCCUUCUUCGGAAGCACGAAAACAGGUGGUGCAUGGCUGUCGUCAGCUCGUGUCGUGAGAUGUUGGGUUAAGUCCCGCAACGAGCGCAACCCUUAUCCUAUGUUACCAGCACGCAAUGGUGGGGACUCAUAGGAGACUGCCAGGGAUAACCUGGAGGAAGGCGGGGAUGACGUCAAGUCAUCAUGCCCCUUAUGUCUUGGGCUACACACGUACUACAAUGGUCGGCAACAAAGGGCAGCGAAGCCGCGAGGCGGAGCCAAUCCCAGAAACCCGACCCCAGUUCGGAUCGCAGGCUGCAACCCGCCUGCGUGAAGUUGGAAUCGCUAGUAAUCGCA